rnacentral:lncRNA from 1 species
ACGGGUGAUCGUAGCGGCACAGGUAGUUUAGUUAAACAUAUAAAAUUACACCCUAGCGAUAAGGCUAGAUUUUUUCAAUUGAAAGCGCAACAAGAGGUAGGACAAGUGUUGCUACAACAGUUAACCCAAGUACUGGUUCAAAUGUAGUUCAACCAGGAAUCAACACAGUCACGGGGGUAUAUUGUAUUACGAUCCAAAUAAGGAUCGUGAAGAACUAGCUAAAAUGAUUAUUGUUAUGUGUUUGCCUUAUUCUUUUGCUUCUAAUCCUGCUUGGAUUCAUUAUAUUAGAAGAGUAUUUAAUCCUACAU